GUGUUUCCUGAUAAAACUCUUUUGAUUCAAAUGGACACGGUGUGAUUUUUCCAUGACCUCAGUUUGGUUGGUCAACACGGUUUUACAGUCUCAAGCGUUCCAUGAAAAUAUAUGGCUCAAAGUCUUGAUUGUCCAGAUUUCGUGAUCUCAAGUGAUUGUUAUGGAGGUAUUCCUUGAGCCAUGGGCUUCAAAUGAGUGGAUACUGGGAAUGAGAUUCUUGGGUCAGACUCGUUGGGAAUAUGUUAGAACUUUUCAGUUCUGAAAGGUGCGACACUACAGAGAAUGAAAUUUCGAUUCAGUUAAAAAAAAAAAUAUUUCUGGAUUUUCGCUGUGAGA